UCCCUGGUGGCUCAGAUGGUAAAGCAUCUGCCCGUGAUGCGGGAGACCCAGGUUCAAUCCCUGGGUUGGGAA
rfam:TPA: Bos taurus chromosome 18, whole genome shotgun sequence.